rnacentral:piRNA from 1 species
UAUAACCAAGUGCAGUGUGAAAUCCAA